rnacentral:rRNA from 1 species
AGUGAACGCUGGCGGUAGGCCUAACACAUGCAAGUCGAACGGCAGCACAGUAAGAGCUUGCUCUUACGGGUGGCGAGUGGCGGACGGGUGAGGAAUACAUCGGAAUCUACUUUUUCGUGGGGGAUAACGUAGGGAAACUUACGCUAAUACCGCAUACGACCUACGGGUGAAAGCAGGGGAUCUUCGGACCUUGCGCGAUUGAAUGAGCCGAUGUCGGAUUAGCUAGUUGGCGGGGUAAAGACCCACCAAGGCGACGAUCCGUAGCUGGUCUGAGAGGAUGAUAGGCGACACGGGAACGGAGACACGGUCCAGACUCCUACGGGAGGCAGCAGUGGGGAAUAUUGGACAGUGGGCGCGAGCCUGAUCCAGCCAUACCGCGUGGGUGAAGAAGGCCUUCGGGUUGUAAAGCCCUUUUGUUGGGAAAGAAAAGCAGCAGGUUAAUACCCCGCGGUUCUGACGGUAACCAAAGAAGAAGCACCGGCUAACUUCGUG